rnacentral:lncRNA from 1 species
AGGCAGAAAGAUAUUUAUUAAAGCAUUGUUCAUAGUAGCAAAGUUACAUGCAACCUAAAUAUUCAACCAUAGAUUACCUCAAUAAAGAAAGCCUUGUCCACAUAUUAGAAUAUAUACACUAAUAAAAGUGGUAGUGUCAAAUAAUAUUUAGUAAAAUGCUUAUGACAUAUUACUGCUGAUUAUAUAGCUCUAUGCAUUGAUAAAAGACUGAAAGGAAAACCAUCAAAUUCCUAGCAGUGGCUAUCAUUAGGUGAUGUGAUUACAAUUCAUGUUUUAUUUUUUUCCUGUAUCUUUUCAUAUUUUCCAUGUUCUCCAUGAUGAGCUUGCAUUGUUUUCUUUUGUAAUGAGGUAGCAGGGGUGGGAAAAGGUUAUUUUUAAAUGGGAGAAAGCAACAUUUUGUUUUUAAAAAGAUAUUAUUUUUGAGAGAAAUAGCACCACUCCAAGUUCCCAAAUCUUGACAUCAGGGAGAAAGCUGUUUCCUACAGAGCUGCACACCUAGGAAUCCUAGGUCCUGAACCCCUCCGUAAGCCCCAGAGGUCCAGACAUUUUUGUUGCUGGUGGGUUGGCCUGAGGCACCUUCUUACCUUUCUUCCUAGCUGGGCCAGCUGCUAGGCUUCCAAGCAGGGAGUGUGUUUGCAGGAUUCAGGGAGGCCUUCAGGGAGUAUGGGGGUGGUAGCCAGCCCAGGGCCGAAUCUCUGCAGUUCCUUCUCCACUUGUCUCCAUCUUUAGCACUAUUUCUGCUUCCUACUCUCUGCCUUCCCAGGCGCCUGUAUCUCCCUGAUCUGAUCUCUUCUUGCCUCAAUUUCCGUUUGUCUCUCUCAUGUCACAAAUCAGAAGAGGGUG